CCUACGGGGUGCAGCAGUGGGGAAUAUUGCACAAUGGGCGCAAGCCUGAUGCAGCCAUGCCGCGUGUACGAAGAAGGCCUUCGGGUUGUAAGGUACUUUCAGCGGGGAGGAAGGGAGUAAGGUUAAUAACCUUAUUCAUUGACGUUACCCGCAGAAGUAGCACCGGCUAACUCCGUGCCAGCAGCCGCGGUAAUACGGAGGGUGCAAGCGUUAAUCGGAAUUACUGGGCGUAAAGCGCACGCAGGCGGUCUGUCAAGUCGGAUGUGAAAUCCCCGGGCUCAACCUGGGAACUGCAUUCGAAACUGGCAGGCUGGAGUCUUGUAGAGGGGGGUAGAAUUCCAGGUGUAGCGGUGAAAUGCGUAGAGAUCUGGAGGAAUACCGGUGGCGAAGGCGGCCCCCUGGAUAAAGACUGACGCUCAGGUGCGAAAGCGUGGGGAGCAAACAGGAUUAGAUACCCGAGUAGUC
rnacentral:rRNA from 1 species